rfam:Salmo salar isolate Sally breed double haploid chromosome ssa13, whole genome shotgun sequence.
UGCAUUCACUACUGUAAAUCGCUCUGGAUAAGGGCGUCUGCUAAAUGACUAAAA